GCCGUACGAUCAUCGAAGUUAAGCUACGUCGAGCCUGGUCAGUACACAGAUGGGUGACCGCUUGUGAAUACCAGGUGCUAUA